GGAUUCAGCCGUCGGAAGGAGGGAAGCAGGACCCAAAUAGCAGACGAGAUAAUCGUAAAUGGCAGAACAGGUUUAUUUCACACAAGGGAUCUGGAUGGUCCGAGCUGGAGAGUGUCCGGGGUUCAGGUUCUCUGGGAGGAGAGGAAAAUGGAGGAGGUAGGCUGUCACGGCUGGAUCCUGAGCUGAAGGGUGGAAGGGCGAGCAGGCAGGUGGCAAGGUUUACAGCUGACGAUCGGAGGAGGAGGACUGGAGGUCAGAUGACUGGAAUGCUGGAGUGUAUCAAGGC